rnacentral:piRNA from 1 species
UAUUCUGGAGACCACAAAGAGACUGUGAUG